GCAACUUUAAUGGGUCGCCGGCUACAUGGCUGCACGGAAAAAUCCAGGUGCAAGUUCUUAAUUGGCGGAUUUUUAACCUAGAUACGUCUUUGUUUUCUCUGAAGCAUUUCUUAUAUGCAUAAUCUAUUCCAAAAGUCGGGAUUUUUCAAUAUCUCACCGAUUUAUAGCUAUUUUCCUGCAUCAAUGAACAAGAUACAAUGUAGCAAAAUGUUUUUAUACCCCAAAUGACCCACUACAAGAAAGACAGUCGGCCCAGUUUAAGCUUCAUUCUUCGACGGGGCUGACUAUUAAGUUUUUACCCAUAUUCCCCAUAAUGAGGCUUUAGCCUACAUGUCAACGUUUUUCGUUCCUUCCAUUUCACAGAAUGAGCGGCAACUAAAACGAGUCAGGAUGAAGCAUGCGUCAUCUCUGUUUCUAAUAGUGGUAAACGUUCACUCGUUCGCCUUUCAAGCCCAGGCGGGGGGACAGUUUUCCUGGAACGAGGCCAUCGUGGAAAAGUGCCUUGUCCCACCAUAACAACUCGCAAGUACGCUCCUGGAGACAUUGACGCCAUGUAUUGGUACUACGGAACAACAAGCAGCACGGCCCUGUUGAUCUCGUACUUCAGGGGACGAGUUGCUCCUCAGAACGGCAUACCACACGGCAUCUAUGAUAUCGACAGUGAGUUCUCUCUAGUCAUCGAGAACGUCACCGCCAAAGACGAGGGAAUUUAUCACUUUAAGGUUAAGCCGCGUUUGAAGAUGACAGAAGAAGGACAAGUGGAAGUUUGUGACAGAGGCUCUCGUUGAAAAACAACACCUACUCGACUUCAGCAUCCAUCCAAGUGAACGAUGUUGAAGAUGAUGGAAUCUAUCAGUGUGAGGCAGUAGGUGUUGCUGUAGGCAGCGACAGUCGCAUGAGAGUACAUUUUAACAGCGGUGGCUACACCACUGAGACUUACGAAGUUCUGGCCGAUCCUUNGGCGGGAUGGUGAGCUAUGGAGGACUUACAGCCAGUUCAGCUCCACGGCGGCUUACGGGGAAGCGGACUCAUCGGCAAACCAGGGAACAACUGCUUCGGCAGGUGCUGCAUCGGCAAUUGUCUACCAGCUGAUCGAGACAAACUCUAGGACUGUUGCGGCAUUGGUUAUGUCUGCAGUCUCGCUCCUGUCAAUCAUGGUUUGGUUUGCAUUUCGUUACAAUGUAUUAUGCCGAACGAAAAAGCGAAAUGAAGACGAUGAACCUGCGCCAGAGAAGGUUUAAAUGACACCGGUGCAGAAUGUGCAUCAAGAGACACCAAAAUAAACGUACAAGAGGAAACUAAACAGAAUCGAGUUGAAGUGAUGAAAUUUUAAGUGUCAAAUGUUCCCAAAUGGGGAUGUCAACUGCAGUGGCUUAACUUGGGGGUAGAUUUCCAGGAGGACACACAUUAUGUAACAGAGGUUUCAAACGGGAGCACCUGUUUGGCACGUGUCACCUUUCCCGUAGUUACGCCACUGGUCAAAUAUUCAUGUACAGUACAUAUGCUUUGUUUACUCUGUCACUGCCAUGUUGCCACACUGCCGAACUUAUCAUCUUACAUUUUGUAUUGCCUUUAUCUUUGCCUCUGUACAGCAUUUUCUAUCAUUUUCUAAUUUUUUUGCUAUUUAUCUUUUAUCACAAUUCAAAUCAAAACUCAGGAGAUGCCCACACAAGAUUAAGAAAUUUGAUACAAAAAGUCCUGUUUUUAAAAAUUAAUGCUGCAAAUUAUUAUGCUUUCCUUUGUAAGGUUUCCUUAGUGUUUUAGUAAUGAAAAAUUAAUUUAUUUAGUUAAUAUCAACUCUCAAGGUUCUUAAGCAUGCUUCACAGAUCAUGACAUUAGAAUUAUAGAUUUUCAAAGCUGGUAUUUCAAUUUUAUUUUUAGUCUUGUAGCAAUAGUGCAUACAGCUGAGUUCACCACCCUGACUUUGAGUCCAAGGCAGAAGAAACCAAGUCCGGGUCCGCCAAUAAAAUAAUCAGAUGCUCUCUUGCAUUAAAACAAAGCUGGCACGAAUAAUGAAUGUACAUCCACUAGGUACAAGCUAUGGAGAGAAUAGGUCCCAUAUCAGUAAUUGAAUAAAAUUCAAAGGCUGCGUUUUACAUCCACAACGUUGGAUUUAAAGGGUGGCUGCAAUACGUUUUUGUGAUCUGCCUCAGAUAACCUUA